rnacentral:rRNA from 1 species
AUAUAAAAUGACUCUCGGCAACGGAUAUCUCGGCUCUUGCAUCGAUGAAGAACGUAGCGAAAUGCGAUACUUGGUGUGAAUUGCAGAAUCCCGUGAACCAUCGAGUCUUUGAACGCGAGUUGCGCCUGAAGCCAUUAGGUUGAGGGCACGCCUGCUUGGGUGUCACAC